UUCCAGUGUCUUGAAGCAGAGUCCAGAUGUGGAACUCUCCUUCCCACAGCAUCCACAGAACUCCAACCUCUUUAGUGGUGUAAAGAGGGGAACGUUGUUUCUUAGUUCAUACCGGGUGAUUUUCGUGACUUCACGCUCAGUCAGUGAUCCCAUGCUGUCCUUUAUGAUGCCGUUUGAUCUGAUGAAGAACUGCACUGUUGAACAACCACUCUUUAAUGCCAACUACAUUCAAGGGACUGUUCAUGCAGCUCCAGAUGGUGGCUGGGAAGGACAGGCUACUUUUAAAUUAGUCUUCAAAAAAGGAGGUGCCAUCGAAUUUGCUGAGUUGCUGAUACAAGCUGCCGCUGCUGGUG